rnacentral:rRNA from 1 species
GCGCGCGAUACAGGGUGACAGCCCCGUACACAAAAGCGCAUGUGCUGUGAGCUCGAUGAGUAGGGCGGGACACGUGGUAUCCUGUCUGAAUAUGGGGGGACCAUCCUCCAAGGCUAAAUACUCCUGACUGACCGAUAGUGAACCAGUACCGUGAGGGAAAGGCGAAAAGAACCCCGGCGAGGGGAGUGAAAAAGAACCUGAAACCGUGUACGUACAAGCAGUGGGAGCACCCUUUGGGGUGUGACUGCGUACCUUUUGUAUAAUGGGUCAGCGACUUAUAUUCUGUAGCAAGGUUAACCGUAUAGGGGAGCCGYAGGGAAACCGAGUCUUAACCGGGCGUUAAGUUGCAGGGUAUAGACCCGAAACCCGGUGAUCUAGCCAUGGGCAGGUUGAAGGUUGGGUAACACUAACUGGAGGACCGAACCGACUAAUGUUGAAAAAUUAGCGGAUGACCUGUGGCUGGGGGUGAAAGGCCAAUCAAACCGGGAGAUAGCUGGUUCUCCCCGAAAGCUAUUUAGGUAGCGCCUCGUGAAUUCAUCUCCGGGGGUAGAGCACUGUUUCGGCUAGGUAGG